UCAAGAGUCACAUGCUCUACUGACUGAGCCAAACAGGCACCCCAAAAGUAGGGACUCAAAAAGUGAUUUAUGACUACGUCAGGAAGCGCCAAGUAUACUUUUGACUGCUUAUCUGGGCUAUAUUCUUCAAGUGAGCACAUAACCACCAAAUGCGUCUUUAAAAUUAAUUAAUCUUUAAAGUCUCCCAAGAGAAGAAAAGAAACAGAAAAAACAUGAGAGAGAGACACAGCGAAAGAGG